CUGAAGGAAAUAAUUCCAAUGCUUGCCACUUUUGUGGAAAAGGUGGGCAUAGGCGAAAGGAUUGUUUUGGCUUCAAGAAAUGGCUCAAAGAAAGAGGGAUUCAAUAUGAGGAAGACCCUAAAAAGAGGGGAAAGAACAAUUAGAGUUGCUAAUGGUGUUGAAGCUUAUGCCGAGGCGAUUGGAGACUUCACUCUUACACUUCAUGGCGGUUUUAAGCUUCAGCUAAAUAAUGUUCUUUAUGUACCCUCGAUGAAACGGAAUUUAGUUUCCGUCUCAUGUUUAGAUGAUGAUAGUUAUGAGUGUCACUUUGGGAAUAAGCAGUGUAUAAUUAUGUAUGACAAUAAUAAUGUUGGCCUUGCCUGUCGACACGACAAACUUUAUGUAAUUUCCCUUUGUGAUGAUAUAAAUAAUGUGGGUUCUACCUCAAAUAUAAA